AGCUCUGUGGUGAAGUUCAUGUUGGGUUGCAAACCCAAAGACGCAGGUUAACGCCUGCCGGGGCUU
rnacentral:tRNA from 1 species